AAGUCGUAACAAGGUUUCCGUAGGUGAACCUGCGGAAGGAUCAUUACUGCUUGCUCAUGGCCGGCUUGGUGGGGAAACCCGCCAGACGGUACGGCAACACACCCUUGACUAUCAUACCCAUUGUUACUUCCCUCGGUGGGGCAACCCGCCGCUGGGGACACCGUAAAUCCUCUUGUAUAAAGCAUAAACUUCUGAAACAAACCUAAAAUAUCACAACUUUCAACAAUGGAUCUCUUGGUUCUG
rnacentral:misc_RNA from 1 species